UACGGGGGGAGCAAGCGUUGUUCGGAUUUACUGGGCGUAAAGGGCGCGUAGGCGGCCACCGCAAGUCGACUGUGAAAUCUCCGGGCUUAACCCGGAAAGGUCAGCCGAUACUGCGGGGCUAGAGUGCAGAAGGGGCAACUGGAAUUCUCGGUGUAGCGGUGAAAUGCGUAGAUAUCGAGAGGAACACCUGCGGCGAAGGCGGGUUGCUGGGCUGACACUGACGCUGAUGCGCGAAGGCUAGGGGAGCGAACGGG
rnacentral:rRNA from 1 species